UUAAGUUCAGCGGGUAGUCCUACCUGAUUUGAGGUCAGGUUUGUCAAGAAGAUUGCAUUAGAAGCAGCACAAUCUGUUCAUGCGGGCAUACCAAAGGCGUAGAUGAUGUUAUUUAUCACACCUAGCAGUCUCCCCGCUCCAGAUACCACUAAUGCAUUUCAGGGGAGCAGACUUGAUAAGAAAGCCUGCAAAAAAAGCCC
rnacentral:misc_RNA from 1 species